rnacentral:misc_RNA from 1 species
CCGUUGGUGAACCAGCGGAGGGAUCAUUACAGAGUUGCAAAACUCCAAACCAUUGUGAACGUUACCUAUCCCGUUGCUUCGGCGGGCGGCCCGGGCCCCGCGCCCGGCGCCCCCCGGCCCCCCGUGGGCGCCCGCCGGAGGUAAACCAAACCCUUGAAUUGCAUGGCCUCUCUGAGUCUUCUGUACUGAAUAAGUCAAAACUUUCAACAACGGAUCUCUUGGUUCUG